UACAGAGGGUGCGAGCGUUGUCCGGAAUCACUGGGCGUAAAGGGCGCGUAGGCGGCCUGAUAAGUCGGGGGUGAAAUCCUGUGGCUCAACCACAGGGCUGCCUCCGGGACUGUCGGGCUCGAGCACAGUAGAGGCAGGUGGAAUUCCCGGUGUAGCGGUGGAAUGCGUAGAGAUCGGGAGGAACACCGGUGGCGAAGGCGGGUCUCUGGGCCGAUACUGACGCUGAGGAGCGAAAGCGUGGGGAGCGAACAGG
rnacentral:rRNA from 1 species